AUGGGGAUGGAGGGGAAGAUCAGACGGACGUUCAAGGCGCUCGACGGCGUGCUCGAGAAGGUGAUCGACGACCGCCGCCGCCGGCGUCAAGCCGGCCAGCAGACUCGAGAUGACGGCGGCCAUCACAGGGAUUUCGUGGACGUGUUGUUGGACGUGAACGAGACCGACAACGAAGCUGGCAUGCGGCUCAGCACGACCGAAAUCAAGGCCAUCAUCCUGGACAUGUUCGCGGCGGGCACGGACACCACGAGCACGGCAAUGGAGUGGGCCAUGGCGGAGCUCAUCACGCAUCCGGACAGCAUGCGUAAGGUCCAGGACGAGCUCAGGGCGGCCGUCGGUGGCUCCGCGCACGUCAUCACCGAGGGCCACAUCGACAAGCUGCACUACCUCAAGGCCGUGGUCAAGGAGACGGUACGCCUGCACCCACCGAUCCCGCUCUCUCGUGCCCCGAGAGCCACAAAACGACGCCGAGAUACUCGGGCACCACGUCCCGGCGGGCACGCGGGUCGUCAUCAACGCGUGGGCCGUCGGCCGGGACCCGGCGGCGUGGGAGCGCGCCGAGGAGUUCGUGCCGGAGAGGUUUCUCGACGGCGCGGUGGACUACAAGGGGCAGGACUUCCAGCUGAUACCAUUCGGUGCUGGGCGGAGGGGGUGCCCCGGGGUCGGAUUCGCCGCGCCGACCAUUGA
rnacentral:rRNA from 1 species